AGAGCGGUCGAAGGUGGGACUGGCGAUUGGGACGAAGUCGUAACAAGGUAGCCGUACCGGAAGGUGCGGCUGGAUCACCUCCUUU
rnacentral:ncRNA from 1 species